UUCAAGGUUAGCAUCACAUGCCUUCUUGUAAGCAUUCUUAGCAGCAGCGGGUGCAUCAUCAGCAGGUUCUUCUAGUAGUGGGUUGUCUAGAACAUCUUCCUUUUUCUCAGCCCUGAGAACAAUUCUCAGGUUGCGGAUCCAAUCCGAGUAAUUUGUUCCAUUCAACUUGUCCUUCUCAAGGACCGAACGCAAAGCAAACGGUGUAGUGCUCCUAGGUGCCAUUUAAUCUACAACAAAGUAAUGCAAAAUAUACUAAGACAAACGUAUCCAUGAUAGAGUAAAUCAUAUUAAACUAUUUUAACAGAAUCUACUCCCACUAAAAUCAAUAUCCCUCUAUUGAAACUUAGUGAUUCA
rnacentral:lncRNA from 1 species